UGCAUCGGCCGGGAAUCGAACCCGGGCCACCCGCGUGGCAGGCGAGCAUUCUGCCACUGAACCACCGAUGU
rnacentral:tRNA from 1 species